GAUUGACUUCAUGGCAUUCCACGGGUCACGCAACACGCUAAGGACACGCUUAGGUCACGUGACACGCUGGGAAGAUCACGUGACGUUCCUGGGAGCCAUCUUGGAUCGACCCCACCAUCAUGGCGGCCACCUUGGGUCAUGUGACACGGCGGCCAUCUUGGAUCGUUGCGCGGGGUUGAGUCGCGUGAUGUGGCGGCCAUCUUGGAUGAGCCCACGUGACUCGUCGGCCAUCUUGGAUCCACCGCAGCGGCCAUCUUGGGUCCACAGGCGCCAUCUUGGAUCGACCUACAUCGUCACGGCGGCCAUCUUGGAUCCAUUCCACCAUGACAGCGGCCAUCUUGACCGGACCCACGUGACUCGGCGGCCAUCUUGCCCCUCCCCCAACUUCCCCGCAUGCUCCCCCCCCCGCAUGCCUUUCAAGCCCCGCCCCCUGUACAUAAGCCCCGCCCACCUCCCCAAUGGAUGCGUGUACAUAGAAACGUAUUGGAGGCGAAGCUCCGCCCCCUCACCGGAAGUGUAAAUAACUCCCCCUCCCCCCCCCCGGAAAAAAAACAUGGCCGACCCUGAAAAAAUGGAGAUUUUUAUUUGGGGUUAUAUAAAAAAAUCGAUCAAAGGGGGGGAGGAGGGGGAGGGAAGGGGGGUCCCUGAGGGCCCCUAUGGGGGGCGGGGGAUCUGUGGGGCGAUUUGGGGGUCUAUGGGGCGGCAUAUGGGGUUAUGGGGUGGAUCUAUGG
rnacentral:lncRNA from 1 species